UACGGAGGGAGCUAGCGUUGUUCGGAAUUACUGGGCGUAAAGCGCGCGUAGGCGGCUUUGUAAGUUAGAGGUGAAAGCCCGGAGCUCAACUCCGGAACUGCCUUUAAAACUGCAUCGCUUGAAUCCAGGAGAGGUGAGUUGAAUUCCGAGUGUAGAGGUGAAAUUCGUAGAUAUUCGGAAGAACACCAGUGGCGAAGGCGGCUCACUGGACUGGUAUUGACGCUGAGGUGCGAAAGCGUGGGGAGCAAACAGG
rnacentral:rRNA from 1 species